rnacentral:rRNA from 1 species
AGAGUUUGAUCCUGGCUCAGGACGAACGCUGGCGGCGCGCCUAACACAUGCAAGUCGAACGAGCGAGAGAGAGCUUGCUUUCUCGAGCGAGUGGCGAACGGGUGAGUAACGCGUGAGGAACCUGCCUCAAAGAGGGGGACAACAGUUGGAAACGACUGCUAAUACCGCAUAAGCCCACGGGUCGGCAUCGACCUGAGGGAAAAGGAGCAAUCCGCUUUGAGAUGGCCUCGCGUCCGAUUAGCUAGUUGGUGAGGUAACGGCCCACCAAGGCGACGAUCGGUAGCCGGACUGAGAGGUUGAACGGCCACAUUGGGACUGAGACACGGCCCAGACUCCUACGGGAGGCAGCAGUGGGGAAUAUUGCACAAUGGGGGAAACCCUGAUGCAGCGACGCCGCGUGGAGGAAGAAGGUCUUCGGAUUGUAAACUCCUGUUGUUGAGGAAGAUAAUGACGGUACUCAACAAGGAAGUGACGGCUAACUACGUGCCAGCAGCCGCGGUAAAACGUAGGUCACAAGCGUUGUCCGGAAUUACUGGGUGUAAAGGGAGCGCAGGCGGGAAGACAAGUUGGAAGUGAAAUCUAUGGGCUCAACCCAUAAACUGCUUUCAAAACUGUUUUUCUUGAGUAGUGCAGAGGUAGGCGGAAUUCCCGGUGUAGCGGUGGAAUGCGUAGAUAUCGGGAGGAACACCAGUGGCGAAGGCGGCCUACUGGGCACCAACUGACGCUGAGGCUCGAAAGUGUGGGUAGCAAACAGGAUUAGAUACCCUGGUAGUCCACACCGUAAACGAUGAUUACUAGGUGUUGGAGGAUUGACCCCUUCAGUGCCGCAGUUAACACAAUAAGUAAUCCACCU